AUUGAACGCUGGCGGCAUGCCUUACACAUGCAAGCCGAACGGCAGCACGGGAGCAAUCCUGGUGGCGAGUGGCGAACGGGUGAGUAAUAUAUCGGAACGUGCCCAGUGAUGGGGGAUAGCCCGGCGAAAGCCGGAUUAAUACCGCAUACGACCUACGGGUGAAAGCAGGGGAUCGCAAGACCUUGCGUCAUUGGAGCGGCCGAUAUCAGAUUAGCUUGNGGUGGGGUAAAGCCUACCAAGGCGACGAUCUGUAGCUGGUCUGAGAGGACGACCAGCCACACUGGGACUGAGACACGGCCCAGACUCCUACGGAAGGCAGCAGUGGGGAAUUUUGGACAAUGGGCGCAAGCCUGAUCCAGCCAUGCCGCGUGCGGGAAGAAGGCCUCGGUUGU
rnacentral:rRNA from 1 species